rnacentral:rRNA from 1 species
AGGGUGUAAACGCUGCAGACUUGGUGUUGGAAGCCCUUUGGGGGCAUUCAGUGCCGGAGAGAAGUUGUUAAGUCUGCUACUUGGGGAGUACGUCCGCAAGGAUGAAACUUAAAGGAAUUGGCGGGGGAGCACCGCAACGGGAGGAGCGUGCGGUUUAAUUGGAUUCAACACCGUAAAACUCACCAGGGAAGACUGUUACAUGAAAGCCGAGAUGAAGACUCUGCUAGAUUUUCAGAGAGGAGGUGCAUGGCGUCAGUGACU